rnacentral:tRNA from 1 species
GAGUGUAUAGCUCAGUGGUAGAGCCCAUGCUUGGCACACACGAGGACCUGGGUUCAAUCCCCACUACCUCU